CUGAGACGUCAAGCCGUAGAGAAUCGAUCCAGGCAGCUCCAGUCCGGCUGUCCCGUAAACACCUAACUCGGAUCACUGAGCCCCGGCGGCUGCGGUCCUCCUGCGGUGGACAGACUGUACCCCACCAACGAGAAGGGUUGCAAGAGCGGCUAUUUCCUCCCCCUCCCGGGAGAGCUGAGCGCUGAGUCCGUCAGCUGCUCGGCUUGGAGCUCCCCUCCCUUUCUAUUUUGCUGCGUCACAUGAUGUAGGCGAGCUGCAUGGGCAUACCCCUGUCACGUGUCGGAGGAAACUUACUGGAAGAGGUUGAUGCAGGGGAGAAGAGCAGGCCAGCAUUCCAUCUAAAUGAGACUAAAGGCAGGGAAGCACUGUCUACAUACCUGGUUCUAGGAGGUUCCACUACUGCAGCUGUAACCACACUGACCAAAUAGAGAAGAAUACACCUCUCCUCCCAAGUGCAUGAAGCUGGAAAGCACCAGCACAAAAUGGUGGCAGAGAAGAUAUGAUCUCUUGAGAAACAUCAUACUUUAUUACAACAGCUAACUUGCCAUAUCAAUAGCUUCUUUC